rnacentral:rRNA from 1 species
UGCUUAACACAUGCAAGUCGAACGGCAGCACGACCUAGCUUGCUAGGUGGGUGGCGAGUGGCGAACGGGUGAGUAACGCGUAGGAAUAUACCUUAGAGAGGGGGAUAACCUGGGGAAACUCAGGCUAAUACCGCGUACGUUCUUCGGAAUAAAGCUGGGGACCUUCGGGCCUGGCGCUUUAAGAAUAGCCUGCGUCCGAUUAGCUAGUUGGUGGGGUAAGGGCCUACCAAGGCGACGAUCGGUAGCUGGUCUGAGAGGAUGAUCAGCCACACUGGGACUGAGACACGGCCCAGACUCCUACGGGAGGCAGCAGUGGGGAAUAUUGGACAAUGGGGGCAACCCUGAUCCAGCAAUGCCGCGUGUGUGAAGAAGGCCUGAGGGUUGUAAAGCACUUUCAGUGGGGAGGAGGGUUGACAGGUUAAGAGCUAGUUAACUGGACGUUACCCACAGAAGAAGCACCGGCUAACUCCGUGCCAGCAGCCGCGGUAAUACGGAGGGUGCGAGCGUUAAUCGGAAUUACUGGG